UUGUGUAUUUAAUGGGAGACAAAAAUUAGUUUGUGUAUUAAACGGAGAUCCAAAAUAGUUUGUGUAUUUAUUAGCACAUGAAAAUCAGUUUGUGUAACUUUAAAGAAUUUUCUUUUCACAUUUUACCACGUGUAUAGUUAAACACUAACGUCAUCGUCACUUCCAUUAAACAUAAAUAACGUCGUUUAAAAGCGAUGUGUAAAAUCUACGAAUUUCAAAAAUUUGAGUAUUUAUUAGGCAAUAUAAAUUAAUUCGUGUAUUAAAUGGAGAUCCAAAAUAGUUCGUAUAUUUUAUUAGUAAAUAGAAAUUAGUCAGUGUAUUUUUAGAGAAUUUUCUUUUUUAUUAUCCCAGACAUUGAUGAGACUUUGCUAAGAACGAUGUCGUUCGGCAGUUUCACCGCGAGAGUAUUCUCCCAUGAACAAGCGUUAUCAAGAGUCUCAAGACAAGCCCUGGGCAACAAGCGUGGCUAGUCCUUUAAUGAGACUUUUGCUCGACGUCGUUUUAGCAACAAAAAACAAACGAAUAUUUUUUUUUUGAACAAUUGGAUGGUUUAAAUAUGUUUAAACAAUUGAAAACAAAGGGAUGGUUUAGCAACAAGAAACAAAUGGAUGGUUUAAAUAUGACAUAUAUGAACACAAAAAUAUAUUCAUAUUUAUGUAUGUUAACAAUACCAGUUAUUUUUGUAUGCACUAAACUACAAUCUAAUAAAACAUUAUAUAAUUUAUUUAAGUAAUUAAUAAUUCAAUAAUCGCCAUUACAUAAUAUUUAUAUAAACAUUAUACAUUGAAAGUAACUACAUUGUACAAUAAAUAUAAUAAAAACUAAUCAUGAAAACGUUCAAAAUAUAUAUUAUCUAAAGAUAAAUAAUUAACACUAGUUAUAAUUAAAAAAAUUAAACUGGUUAUAAUAUGAAUCAAAUUACUAGCAAGAUAAAUUACACAAAACAAUUAUAAUUAAUGUUAAUUAAGCCCCAUCAAAUAAAUACUACAUCUCUCUUAACCAUUAGCACUAAACAACAUUCAAUUAAUCUAAUUAAUUUAAACUAAAAUCUCCAAUAUAAUGCCGCGUGGUCAUGAUAUAAUAUUCUUUAAUCAAUUGACCCAUGUAAAAUAUAUGUUCACUCUAAAACUGACCCCGGUAAACAUUUUAGCUGGUUCCGCCACUGGUCAUGAUAUAAUAUUCUAUAUUCCAUACACACACCCUAUAAUAUAUAGAAAUAAUAUAUUCCUUGAAAAGUACAUAUUUUAAAAUGAAAGUAAUCUAGAAGUACUCAAAUUUAAUAUUUAUUAUUCAUUGUAUUAAGUCAUUUGAUACAUUAUACAUCUAUAAAUAGAGGAUCAAGCAUAACAAAAAUGAAAGAAAAGCCUCAAAAAUUAGGCAUAACCAUUGACUCUACUUAGAAAAAAAUGGUUCUUACAGAUGCUGAGAUUCUAGAGAUUAAAAGUGAACUCGAACGUGUUAAAAAAACAUCAGAACUAGAUGAAGAGCAUAUGAAGGAUCUAGAAGAAAAGAUGACCGAAUACUUAGAAAAGGAAAAGCUUGUGGGUAGUUUACUUAACGCUGUGCUAAAGAUGACAAACAAUUCUGUUGCAAAGAAACAGGCUUCCUCAUCUCCAUCAAUGCCAUCGGCCUCAGGUGACAAGGGAAAGCAGAAGUAGUAGUAGUUCUUUCAAAGCUUUUAUGGAAUAACUAAUCUGAGAUUUGUGUAAUAAAAAAAAAAGAUUUCAUUGUCUUUCGGUUUCAGAUAUGUAGGAUUCUCGUGAUAAACCAAUAAGUCUCUUUCGUUUGUUUUUUGGAUCCUCCCUAUACCUUUCUUCAUCAUUUUAAUUUUAAAAUAAAUUCCGUUUUGGAAAA